rnacentral:rRNA from 1 species
UUGGAGGGCAAGUCUGGUGCCAGCAGCCGCGGUAAUUCCAGCUCCAAUAGCGUAUAUUAAAGUUGUUGCAGUUAAAAAGCUCGUAGUUGAAUUUCGGGGUUCCACCGUUGGUCGGGCUAUUGUUUGUACUGGCGUGUGGAAUUUCUACCUUCUGGGGAACUAUCAUGUUAUUAAUUUAGCGUGGUAGGAAACCAGGACCUUUACCUUGAAAAAAUUAGAGUGUUCAAAGCAGGCUUAUGUCUGAAUACAUUAGCAUGGAAUGAUAAAAUAGGACGGUGGCCCUGUUUUGUUGGUUUCUGAAUCACCGUAAUGAUUAAUAGGGAUAGUUGGGGGCAUUAGUAUUCAAUUGUCAGAGGUGAAAUUCUUGGAUUUAUUGAAGACUAACUACUGCGAAAGCAUUUGCCAAGGAUGUUUUCAUUAAUCAAGAACGAAAGUUAGGGGAUCGAAGACGAUCAGAUACCGUCGUAGUCUUAACCAUAAACUAUGCCGACUAGGGAUCGGACGAUGUUAACUUUUCUUGACUCGUUCGGCGCCUUACGGGAAA